rnacentral:tRNA from 1 species
UCCCCAGUAGCUCACAUGGUAAAGAGUCUGCCUGCAAUGCAGGAGACCCAGGUUCAAUCCCUGGGUCGGGAA